CCUACGGGAGGCAGCAGUAGGGAAUCUUCCGCAAUGGACGAAAGUCUGACGGAGCAACGCCGCGUGAACGAUGAAGGCCUUCGGGUCGUAAAGUUCUGUUGUUAGGGAAGAACAAGUGCUAGUUAAAUAAGCUGGCACCUUGACGGUACCUAACCAGAAAGCCACGGCUAACUACGUGCCAGCAGCCGCGGUAAUACGUAGGUGGCAAGCGUUGUCCGGAAUUAUUGGGCGUAAAGCGCGCGCAGGCGGUUUCUUAAGUCUGAUGUGAAAGCCCCCGGCUCAACCGGGGAGGGUCAUUGGAAACUGGGAAACUUGAGUGCAGAAGAGGAAAGUGGAAUUCCAAGUGUAGCGGUGAAAUGCGUAGAGAUUUGGAGGAACACCAGUGGCGAAGGCGACUUUCUGGUCUGUAACUGACGCUGAGGCGCGAAAGCGUGGGGAGCAAACAGGAUUAGAUACCCUGGUAGUCCACGCUGUAAACGAUGAGUGCUAAGUGUUAGAGGGUUUCCGCCCUUUAGUGCUGAAGUUAACGCAUUAAGCACUCCGCCUGGGGAUACGGUCGCAAGACUGAAACUCAAAUGAAUUGACG
rnacentral:rRNA from 1 species